ensembl:lncRNA
GUUCUUCUCUAUAAUGAAGGAGGUGUGGCUUGUGUUCUUCUCUAUAAUGAAGGAGGUGUGGCUUGUGUUCUUCUCCAUAUUUAAGAAGGUGUGGCUUGUGGUGUUCUCCAUAUUUAAGGAGGUGUGGCUUGUGUUCUUCUCCAUAUUUAAGGAGGUGUGGCCUGUUCUUCUCCAUAUUUAAGGAGGUGUGGCUUGUGUUCUUCUCCAUAGUGAAGGAGGUGUGGCUUGUGUUCUUCUCCAUUGUGAAAGAGGUGUGGCUUGUGGUGUUCUCCAUAUUUAAUGAGGUGUGGCCUGUGUUCUUCUCCAUGGCGAAGGACGUGUGGCCUCUGUUCUUCUCUAUAGUAAAGGAGGUGUGGCCUCUGUUCUUCUCUAUAGUAAAGGAGGUGUGGCCUCUGUUCUUCUCUAUAGUAAAGGAGGUGUGGCCUCUGUUCUUCUCUAUAGUAAAGGCGGUGUGGCAUCUGUUCUCCUCUAUAGUAAAGGAGGUGUGGCCUCUGUUCUUCUCUAUAGUAAAGGAGGUGUGGCCUCUGUUCUUCUCUAUAGUAAAGGAGGUGUGGCCUCUGUUUCCCAAUGAAGGAGGUGUUUGUCUCUGUAUCUAUCAGUCCCAGUGAAGAAGGUGUGGCCGCUGUAUUUCUCCAUCAUAAUGAAAGAGGUGCAGCUUGUGUGCCUCUCCAUCCCAGUAAAGGACUGUGUCCUUUGUGCCUCUUAUUCCCAGUGAAAAAGACGUGGCUUCUUUAUCUGUUCGUCACAGUGAAGGAGGUGUAAUUGUGAAUUUGUGCUGUUCUGAAAAGGGUGAUAUUGGGCUGUACCGUUAUUAACCCUGAAUUUUUCACACCUCUCCUCUGGUCCAAAGAGUUAGGUAGUAAAGCGUUUGAUUAUUUCCUGUACGCAGGAUAAACACAAGUUUUCAUUCCAUUGCAUCAUUUUCUU